rnacentral:lncRNA from 1 species
GCAGGAUUUCCACCUUUCUUGGUUUCCCUUCCCAUUCCUCCCACCUCUCUCCGCUCAGGAAUUCCUUGGACAGACCAGAUCGCUAAAGGAUCUUACCGGAAGUGUCUUUUCAUGCUAGUUCCGGUGGCUCACACGGACGGGCACAGCUUGUGUGGGUUCUGCCUGGAAAGUGCCUGACUGCCCAAGUCAGCGGCUCCGUGCCAGGGAUGAGCAGCAGGCUUGAUUUCAAGGUCUCAGGUGAGGACCGUCCAUUUGAACUGAUCAGCUUUGCGUGUUCCCCAGGGUGGCUUUCCACGCUGAGCUGCAGUCUCCCCGCAAGAGCAAGCAGACCGGCCACAUGCACUGCCCACUCCUUCCCUCACGCCACAUUCCAUUACCCACGUGCCAAAUCCACUUAUAUUUGCCUAAAGCCUCAGGUGUCUAGAUAAUAGAAGUUGUACUGAGCCGGUCCUGGGCACCACACAAGGUUGUCCUCACCUUGGACUGGCUUGGGUCACUGAAUCCUGAUAAACCAACACCCUGAAGCCCCUCACCUCAUCCCCACAGACAGACAGGCUCCUGUGGAGAUACGGAAACGUGCCCUGUGUUAGUUAGACUUCUUUAUUUUACUUACUGCCUGGCAUUUACAUGACCUGGACGGAGAUGGGGAAUUACAGAUGUGCUGAAAGGAAAAAGAAGAAAGCCCUUAACAAUGCCCUCUGUAGCUUUGGAACAUGAAGAAAAGUUAAAUGGGCAACUCUACACAGUGUGUUAAAGACAAAAAGAAUAAAACGGGGGACUUGCCACCGAGCCGGACAAUCUGAGUUCAAUCCCUAGACCUGUGAGGCAGAAACCAUCAACUCUCACAAGUUGUUCUCUGACCUCCACACUGAUAAGUUAUUCUCCGCCAGUGAAAUCAGCCAAUUCAAGCCAAAGUAAACUACAUAAUGCCGGGUUUAUUGGGAAGCGGCUCUUGCGUGGAUUCCCUGGUCCCAAGGAACAAGGCCAGAGAAGUUGCCGUGGGGAGAGAGACAGAGGAAAGGGAGAUCGCAAAUAGGUAAGCGAACAUGGUCAAAAGCAGAAAUAUGAGAAAUCAAAGCCACUGCUUAGAAAGGUGAGAAAUUCAGCCGCCUGGACCUGGGGAGCACGAGCAUGGAUGGCCCCAAGGCCUGCUGCCCCCUGUGUCCUCCCGUUAGGAGACACACAGCACACCGUGGACUCUGGCUGGCCUGGAUCAUUGCAUCAACUGAGUGAGGAAGCACUAUAUUAUAAAACACUGCUGCUCCCGUGCCUGGAGCACCCAUCCCUUCCCUCCCAUCUUCAGUGGCGCUAAGCAGCCUUUUCCCAAGGCUCUUGGAAAGAUCACAGCUGACCUCUGAUGGAGUAUGUAAGCCAUCUCUCUCUUAUGUAAGAAAAUCUUGCUUGG